UUUUUUAUUGUUUCUCACAAGAACAUUGGUUGUGUUCUGCACUGUUCAUUUACCAUAUUUUUCGGACUAUAAGUUGCAUCAGUCCAAAAAAAAACAUGUCGCAUUUAUUCAGAACCAAGAACCGGAGAGAAAACAUUACCAUCUAACAUUACCAGCCGCGAGAGGGCGCUCUAUGCUGCUCAGUGCUCCUGUAGCAUACCACUGAAAACAACUGCAAACUGUUAACUGAAAUAUUAAUUUAAUUUAUUUAACAAAAUCCAAGACCAAGAACAGACAUUGGUAAUCUGGAAAGGCAAGUUAUUCAGCUAACGGUACACAAUAGUACACAGGCAUGCCCGGUAUGUUAACAUAACACAUUACCAGUUAGCUACACAAUAGCAUAAAGAACAUACCCGGGAGGCUGAAUAGGCUAAAAUUAACAUAAGCCAGCGAGUCCAACAGUUACUGGUAACGUUAAGCAAGUUCACUAAGCUCCCGCGAUCUUAUUCCACUUCAUUGAAUCACUGGAUUUUCAGUGGUAGGCUACAGGAGCACUGAGCAUCAUAUAGCGCCCUCUAAGGCAAAAAAACACCUGUAAGGCAAAAUUUUCACAAUAUAGCUAAUGUUUUUAAACUAUAUAUCAUUUACACAUUUCAUUUGUCUGACCUUAUCUUUAAUUGCAAUCGCUGGAAAAGAUUAUAAAAAAAAGUUAAAUGUUUCAAUGUCUUUAUGAAUAGAAUUUAGGAAUGCAUUUUCCCCAGUUUAAUAGAAAUCCCAAAGAUGUGUAGCAUUAUUUUUUAUUCUCAUGUCCCAGGCAUAAAAAAAUGGUUGCAAUAAUGAGAAAACAAGAAAGAAAAAAAAAAUUCAUGGCCUCUUUGGGCUUCUGUUUGUUGAUUUGGUUUGUAAAAAAAAAAAAAAAAGGACUCCUGUCCAUGGGCCUCAUUUAUAACCGUUGUGUACGCACAUAACCAGCCCUGGAAGAAGCGUACACCACUUCCUGCACAAAAGGUGGAAUUUAUAAAAACAAUCUUGAUGGGAAAAUCUGCACACAAAUUAUGACCCAUGUGUACAAACCAAGGUGUUGUAUGCUCCAUAUAUGGUGAUUUUGGGGAGGAGGCGGGGUGGAGAACCUGACUUUGAUUUAUAAAGGAAUUUUUGCGCAGGUUCUGGUGUAUGCAAGGUAUUUUAAAUCUGAAAACUUUUAUGUGUUUGCAAAGUUAGCUUUUGAGCAUACGUACAUGUGGCGAGUGGGGCGGCUUUCGGCCCCGCCCCACUCGCCACAGUACACUUAUAGGAUGAAAUCUACAGAGUUUUAUACCUGAGGUCCCAGGUUUGAAAAAGACCAAUACUUGGGAAACCCUUUUUAUUCCACAGAAACCUAUAAUUGGGUACAUGGGCCUGGUUUGAAUGUUGUGUUUGCAAAAAGCACUUGAAAAUUUCUACAUAUCAGUGCACCUUCUAAAGGCACAAAGCUAAUUCAAUCUCAUUAUGAGUUUGAAAGAAGUGUUUGCAAACAGCAAUUGAAAAUUUCUACAUAUUAGUGCACCUUCUAAAUGCGCAAAGCUAAUACAAUCUCAUUAUGAGUUUGACUGUUGUGUUUGCAAACAGCAAUUGAAAAUUUCUACAUAGUGCACCUUCUAAAUGCACAAAGCUAAUUCAGUCUCAUUAUGAGCAACAAAGCUAAGUGCCUUGUGUGUUGAUGCAACACUUGCAUAGUUGUUAGACAUCUUAUUCUUAUAAUCGGUAUGAUUUGUUAUAAUAUAAUUUUUUAUUAUACUGUUUGCAAAUACAACAUGUGCUUUUCACAUUUCUGAAUCUCAAUAUUGUAUAUUUAAUCCAGAGACACUGAUGUUACUUUGGAGGUUAAAAAGUAAAAAAAAAUAUUAAGACUAAGAUUCCGACGCAUGAGUAUAUAGCCCCUUUCACACUGCCAUUCCGGCAAAUACAGGGGUAAAGUGUUCCUGUAAUUGUUCCCUGGUCGCUAGAUUUGGCACUUUCACACUGCCAGUGAUGACCCGGUAUAUGUGCGUGCUUUCACACACAACCCUUGAAGAUCCCGUAACGACACGUGACAUCAGCGCGUGACGUGUAAUGUACGAGUCGACAACGCUUGGCACGUUAUACUUUAACUGAAGCAAGCAAACGAUCUCGGCGUCAGCGCGGAAAGUGAGGAACUAACUGAUCUCUGCUUCAUUACAGUUUGCACAUAUGUUUUCGUUGCGAAUGUUGAUCUUCCUUCAAAACAGCCGGUAAAAAAGUCGCGCGAUAACGCGUGUCAUCACUUCGAUACGGAAUUAGAUCUGGCUUUUGUUCACACAGCGCUCGUUCCGGAUCGAUUACCGCAAUGUUACUAUGCAAUGUUUAUUUUGAUCCAAAAUCCUUUGUGAAACUGCAGCAUGUACUAGUACGGACGCCACUUCUGAAGGGAAGGACUAGUAAUCACUGUGCGUAUCAAAUAUUUCUUCUUACACUGCAUUUCAGGACAAUCUACUGUAUGAGCUAUAUUAAGGCUGCUUUUACACAGUCGGCUCAGUGUUAAAAUGUGUGUGAGGUGACUAAUGGUGGGGCUGCAUCUGUUGGGGACAUGCUUGAAAUCUGCCAAAACACUUUCUCUGUGGGGUGUCUGGAUAUCUCUCCUGUAUGCUCCUGUAUCCUGUAGAGUUGUCACUUUGAAUUCUGCACUUGUAAGUCUUUACAGGAUGUGAAACACUCUGUUGUGUAUGAAAUAUUGCAGUGUAAUUUUAUAUGUUCAUGAAUUUGUGAUUUACACUAGCAUGAUAAAGUUCAGGAAAAUUCCUUAAGUUUUUAUUAACCUGAAAAUCUGUGGUGUAGCAAGACUCCUCAAUGCCCCCCAAAACCCCUCAUUCCAACAGGCCCACACAUGUCUACUUCACUAUGUGGAUAUAUUUGCGUAAUGCCGCCCAAAUGUUCACACAAAGAAAGAAGGCAUGGUUUCAGUAACCGCAGUUAGUGUUGAAGCAGCCAUGUCUAGGAGAUGCUGUGUGUAUCUAGGUGAAAGCAAAAUCACUUUAUUUGGCCUUCCGAAAGUAGAUGCAUUUAGGAAUCUUUAAGAUAACUUACAACAGAACUCAAAUGCAGAGUUUUGCGCGUUGUGUGUGUGUGUGUGAGAGAGAGAGAGAGACAGUCAAACAGUGGAGACUGCUGUCUUAACCGUCUGUGGUUUGUGUACUGCAAACACAUCAACUGUCUGUUGCUCUGUUCCCCUUUCAGGCUUGAAUUGAUGAAACUAAGGUCAUUUAAAACUAAUAAAACUAAGGUCAUUUAUUUUGAAAGUUGAAGCUUUUUCCAUGAUUAUGGAAAAGGGCGUUACAUUUCAGAUGAGUGCUUGUGGUGAUUGGCCAGUCACAAUGCACUGGGUCAGUUGGCCAAUCAGAGCAGACUGCUCUUGUCGGAAAGAGGGACUUUGUAGAAAACAAUGCGUUUAAGAGAGGCGGGGCAUAGAGGACCUACAGUAAUGUACAGUAUUUUAAAUAUAAUGUGUUUUUUUAACAUUGAAGCAUGUCAACAUAUUCUGUUAAACCAAAUACACAAAAUAAUGAUCUUUAAAAAAGCAUCAUAUGACCCCUUUAACCUUACGCAAAAUAACAUGAUUUAUCAUUGUAAUUUUGACUUUAUUCUUAUAUUAUGAUGUUAAUUUAUUCAACGUGGCACUAAAAUGCUGCCAUAUAGGCUAUUUGUACAGUCAUGGCCAGAAAUAUCAGCAUCAUUGGUAAAUAUGAUUAAAGAAGGCUGUGUAAAGUAUUCCGCACUGUUAAUCCUUUUGAUUUUUUUAUUAAAAAAAUUCUCAAAAAUCUAACCUUUCAUUGGAUAAUAAGAAUUUAAAAUGGGGGGAAAUAUUAUUAUGAAAUAAAUGUUUUAAAUAUAUUUUUUCAUUUUAUCCGGUUCACGAACGAAUCACUCAGUGUAACUAGAUCUUCUUCUUCAACCAGUUCACCAAAUCGAACUGAAUCGUUUGAAACGUUUAUUAUUAUCUCCAAUAAUCAACAAAUGACUUAACCGGUUAACUUUUUUAAUGUGGCUGACACUCCCUCUGAGCAGGGCCGUGCAGAGUCCUUUGGAGGGGCAGCUGCUCAAAGUAUAAAAGGGGCACAUGGAACAAGGCUUUAAAUGGCGCUGUUCAAAAUAUCAAUACAGCAAUAUAUUGUGAAGCAUUCCUUGCUGAUUCGCGUAUCAAAAUUGAGUUUAAGUUCAUUGUUGUGAGUUGGUUUUGCUCAAGACAGACGACAGAAAGUGCAUUAGAAAGCAUUUGUUUUCCUUCUUUUUACAAAUUCACAAGGUUUUGUUGAUAUUGUGAAUGCAAACACAUAAAAAAAAGGAUUUACACUUGCUGUUGUAAACAGCCCCCUGUGGCAGUGUAAAUACGCAGAGUUACCCUUAUUAACACUGUUGAGUGUUAAUAGUCACAUCCGGGACAUUUACUGGUGUGCAUCUGAAACAGCCUUUUUUUUUUUGCUUGUGAUGCGGCAAAUAUGAGGAUGGAAAACGGCGAAAGAAAGUGUAUAAUCUUACUCAUAAAAUGUGUUUUUUAAUAUCAUAUCGUUUUAUAAUGAUAUUUUUUUUGCUGUGUGCGCAUAAACUUUUCUCAAUUUCAUUUUCUUUCACUCGCGAUGCGGAACAGACGAGGACGUCUAUUAUUUUCUGUAAGGGCAUUCUGAAAGUAAGUUAAGUGAUUUUAUCUCAUUUAAAAUAUGUGUUUAAUGACAUUAUAUUGAUUUAUAGCGAUAUUUAUGUGCUGUUCUCUCCACAACUUUUUCUCAAGAAGGAUAUUUUCUUCCUCUCAUGAUGGGGAGAAGAACCAUAAAUUUAAACUGCAGUGCAGCACAGACACGGGUUAAUGUUAACUAACUUAGAGAGGGGAGAGACCAGAGAGAGAUAACGUUAGAUUCUUUUACUCGAAGCGGAACAGAUGGGGAAGUUGGUUUUAACAAGGAAAACACAGAAAUUGAGUUGGAUUGAAUUGCUUUGCUAAUAGAGUGUCAUGAACGCACACUCAUGCACAGAGAUCAACAGUCAGGAGCACUUUUGUGAUGCUGCAAGUAGGAGUGGAUUUCUUGCUUAGCUGGAAACUGCAGAGAACAAUGUCUUGUCGUCCCUGGAAAAAAGAAAGAGACUACUUUCUCCAAGAAGGUCCAAACGCCAUUGGCACAGACUUUUUUCAGUGAUCAGUAACAUACAUUCUGCCAGGGCCGUCCUUAUGGGGGUGUAAUUGGUGCAGUCUCACCGGACUCCACACUUGAGGGGUAAAUGGACUGAAUGAUCCCCCCACCUGGGAACACUCCCUACUUUGCACCAAGCCACACAUCAGAUAAGUACGGCCCGGCAUUCAUGGUUGAUGGUAAUGAAUGAGAUGCUGUGUUUUAAGCAGAUAAAUCUAAGCACUAUCCACCUUUUUCCUCAACGCGGAAGUAAGCCUAUGGGUGAGACUUCGGUUUCAUUAGCCGCUAUAACGAGGUGAAUAACAACGUGCAGUAAAUGGUAAAACUGUUUGCAGUACAAACAAGUGUGUUCUUAAUAUAGAUAACAUAACAAAUGAGCCCAGAAGCUAAACCCAUAGAAUUUACAAAUGGCGACACCCAUUUUUACGUCAGGAAAAAGGUGGAUAAACUUAUUGAAAUUCAGAAUACAUAUGGACCAAAUAAGAAUAUGUAUUUUGUGCCUUUACACUGAUUUGCUUUAACAUUGUUUUAAUUUUUGUAAGAACAUGUUGUUUACAUGUAUUGAAAACACUGAAUGUGAAGACAUUUUGGUGCAGGGAUAAAGUUACAAUGUUUCAGUUUAAAUAAAUAAAUGUAAACAUGUAUUGAUUUAUGGAUUAAUUUAUUUAUUGUCAUAUAUACAUUCCAGGAGUGUUGAAUUUGACUUGAAUUGAGUUAAUUGUUCACUGGCUUUUUUGCUGUGCAGGAGAGUUUUUGUAAUGCUAACUACACUGGAGUUAAAAAUAUCAAGAGUUAAAAUCUAUCUUAAAGGUGUUAAAUUGUAACUUUUUACUCUGGUGUUAAGAUAUAUUAACACUCUGUGGUGUGGACCAGAAUUGUUUUUUAACUCCAUACCGUGUACAUAUAACUCAUUCAUAGUGUUAAACAUGUAACUCUUUGAAGAGUGUUAAUGUAACUGUGAAAAGAUUGAGACAAUAUGCACACUUUUUCAAAGUUGAUUUUAACUCUGGUAGAGUUGAAUUAACACUUGCAAUUUUGCUGUGUAUGCCCAACUCACUGUCUGCCACUGGCCGCUUGGUUGUUCCUUUAAAAAAACAAAACCUUGAAUUUAACAAACAUUGAAUGUUCCAAACCUAUCUCUAAAUCAAUUUAAAGAAACGAAAAUAAAUAUUGGCACUUUGCCAUUAAAAAUCAAAACCGAACUAUUUUAAUGACUGCAACAGCAGCUGUGAAAUUGGGAAGAGAGAGAAAAAUAGACAGUGACUCCAGUUUGAUUAUGGCUGAGAAUUCUGAUAUACUGUCGGACAAGGGAAAUUGCAGGGAAAUUCAUUCCCUCGUUUCAAUUAAAAGUCCACCCCAAAACCCCCCACCCCCCUGCUCGGCGGGACCCAAUUCUGCACCCAGACCUUACGCCACUGCUGAAAAGUCUUCUCCGUUCCAGCAAUGCCAUUAAUCAGACAAUAGUGACCGCCGUGAAAAAUGUUUGCACUGAUAUGAGUUACCUUUUCGAGAUCCAUGUAGAUCAAUGGAAAGUAAUUAUAACCUUUUUUGCUUGCCAAUUUGGUAUUUAACAUAGUAUUAAAAUUAGAUCUGGAUAUCAACGCAUGCAACAUGCCUAGAUGUCUUUUUCGCUGUUAUCUGGUGCUUAUUGAGCUAUAAUUAAAGAUGUCUCGUCACGGGCCACUGAAUAUUGUUAUCUUUAUUACACAUCAACAAAACCUACCAUUCGUUUUUAGAUAAUGACCCUUUACUUGUGGUUUAGUUCUGCGCAGAAUCCAUAAAUGCGGGCACGGAUUUCCAGAACGCGUGUCUUUCUCCAGCGCUUUAUACAGCGCUUAAACCGAUUUGAUGGUCGCGAAGUAAAGGCAUUUACUCUAAGUGUAAUCAGGGAGAUGCUUGGUGCAGCAGCGAGAGAGAAAGCGGCGUGGUUUGAUGCAGCGCGCUCUCUUGUAUGCGCUCUCGGGAUCAUUUGGAGACAUGUGCGUAUCUCUCUCUCCCUCUUUGUAAACUUCACUGGCAUGGCCAACAUGGAGAACAAAUACUAACACGUGGAUCGCUUUUGUUUACUCUCGGUCUUUAAGUAGUAGCUGUGAGCUCCGCCUUAAUGAACGAAUUUAUCGUGAUUCUCGUAAAAGAAGAGAGUUGCGCAAUGCUAUGCUGAGAGCCGCGAGGUCUCUGUCCGAUAUGAGAGAAUGGAUUGCAUUUGUAUUGUUACGACCAAGGUAAGCGCACAGAUUAACGGUGAUUUACUGCGACCAUCUGAAUGAAAGCAUUUACCGCAUGUUGUUGUUAUUAAUUCUGUUUAUUGCUGUGUACACAAUAUAAUAGCCAUACUUUGCUAAUACAUAGUUAUGGCAGUUUUAUGAUCUUAACUGUUCCUGUAGGACCCCCUUAAAAUGCAUAAAA